rnacentral:rRNA from 1 species
UACGUAGGGUGCAAGCGUUAAUCGAAAUUACUGGGCGUAAAGCGUGCGCAGGCGGCUUUGCAAGACAGAUGUGAAAUCCCCGGGCUUAACCUGGGAAUUGCAUUUGUGACUGCACGGCUAGAGUGUGUCAGAGGGGGGUAGAAUUCCACGUGUAGCAGUGAAAUGCGUAGAUAUGUGGAGGAAUACCGAUGGCGAAGGCAGCCCCCUGGGAUAACACUGACGCUCAUGCACGAAAGCGUGGGGAGCAAACAGG